rnacentral:lncRNA from 1 species
UCCGGUGCAGUUGGGGCCACCAACCUUGCUAACUGAAGCGGAAACUCUUGACUUGUUAUCUUACAUUAACGGAAGCCCCCAGCAUCCUGGGAAGUUAUGGGGCUUACAGGUUAACUCUAGCCCUUACAUUGUCACUAAAAGUGUACUGUACCAUACACCUCCUCUGCUUCACGUUCCACAAAAGUCACUGGCCGCAGUAGUAUGCAGAGCAGAUCUGAGGGCAGACAAGAAAGCUGCUAAGCCUUGUUAUUUCCUGCCAAAACUGCCACAGAAAGGCAUCCAUGUACUGGUCUACCCUUCCAAGGGAACUGGAACACAAACACUGUAGCAGAUGAGCUGAAAUUUAAAGAGAGAGGGAAUGCGUGUCCUUCUAAUACUGGGAAAGAAGAGUAUAAAAGGGCAACAGAUAGCAGUUGAUUGGUUGAUGUCCAUCAGCGGGAUGAAGAAAGAAAAAUCUCAGAUGGUUGCAAAAAAUCUAUACAGGAAUAUUCAUCACAGUAUGACCAGGCAAAUCUGUAUCUUCUCUUCUAUCCAGAGUGAAAACAUCUACUGUUCCCCGUGGAAUCUAAUACACAGCGAGAUCUAAUGAAACCAUUGUUUCAGAAUGAGAUCCCCUCACAUCUCUCUCUCAUCUAUCAUCUAUCUACCCACAAUGGAUCUAUGUAUUCACAAUAUGCACAUAUAUUAAAUGAAGCCCAUCAUAUAUAGUGGAUAAUAUAUAUGUGCUAUAUCUUAUACAUAUAUAAUAGAAUAUAUGAAAUAAUGUGACAUAUGCACAACAGCUGCUAAGGAAUGAAUGAGAGAAUGAAUUCUUAUUCCUAACAGGAAUAUUUAAACCAGAUGAUUCAUCUCUUGGCAAGUCUUCUGCUCCUUUAAAGCCUAAUGCCGUGACCCUUUAAUACAGUUCCUAAUGUUGUGGAGACCCCCCAACCAUAAAUUACUCUCAUUGCUAUUCAUAACUGUAAUUUUGUCACUGUUAUGAAUUGCAAUGUAUACAUCUGUAUAUGUCUUAGAUGACCCCUGUGAAGAGGUCAUUUGACUCCCAAAGGGGUUGUGACCUGCAUUUUGAGAAAUGCUGUUCUAGAUUGUGACGAAACACAGCCACAUACCUUUACCUGAAUAAUUUUAUAGAAACAUAUACAAGUUUUUGUAUUAUAAAUAUCCAUAAUGUACAAAGUGUAAUUUGGAAACAUGUAUCAGAAGUUGGUUCCUGCCUCUGGGAGAGGCAGGUAGCGGCUGUAGCAACUUGAGAAAGACUGACACUUCCUGUCUUUCUUUACGUAGUUGGAAAUUUUGGAUUGGGUACAUUUUCAUCACCGAAUGACAUACACAUAGAAAAAGUAUAUCACCUAACAAGAUUUUAAGUGCAUAUGCUUUUUGAUUCAAAUAUUUCUCUCCCGAGAAUAAUAUCCUGCAAACGCAUCC